UACGGGGGGAGCAAGCGUUGUUCGGAUUUACUGGGCGUAAAGGGCGCGUAGGCGGCCACCGCAAGUCAAUUGUGAAAUCUCCGGGCUUAACUCGGAAAGGUCAACUGAUACUGCGGGGCUAGAGUGCGGAAGGGGCAACUGGAAUUCUCGGUGUAGCGGUGAAAUGCGCAGAUAUCAGGAGGAACACCCGUAGCGAAGGCGGCACUCUGGGCCGAUACUGACACUGAGGAGCGAAAGCGUGGGGAGCGAACAGG
rnacentral:rRNA from 1 species